AAUAUUACCUUGGUCUUUUGUAUGGGGCUUUUUCUUUUUUGUUUUUUUGGAGAGAUAGGUAGCACGCUACCCGCUAGGGCUGGCAAACGAGCGAGCCGGCUCGCGUUCGACUCGUGUUCGGCUCGAUAUUCGGCUCGCUCGAGCUCGACUUGAAAUUAAAUGAGCCGAGCUUGAACAAAAUAAAAGGCUCGAAAUUCAUUUCAAGCUGAGCUUGAGUAUUACUCGGCUCAUUCGAAUUAGGCUCGAAAAGCUCGAAAGCUCGAAAUAUAUAUAUAUAUAUAUAUAUUUAUAUAUAUAAUGUAUUUUAAUUAUAUAUAGGCUUUAAUUUAAUUUGGGCCAUUAUUGUUGGCCCAUAAAAUAAACCCAACAAGUACAACCGUGCAAUUGAGCCCAACUCUAAAUUUACAUAACACACUCUCUCUUUCAGACUUUCACUGUUCCACAUAACCCUAAAACAUGAUAAUAUUCAAAUUUCUAAAUCCCUAAUUUUUUUUUCUCUCUCUCUCUCUGACCCUCACCCAGUCAGGCAGUCACCCUAGCUCACAUUUCUUACAAUUAUUUUGUAUUUUGAACUAUUGAACAUGUUGUAUCAAAUUAUAGGUAAUGUUCUAUAAAAAUUAAACUAUUGAUUAUAUUAUGUCGAGAAUUUCAAUCGGCUCGUUUAGAGCUCGAGCUCGGCUCGACUCGAAAUUAGGCUCGCUCGAGUUCGGCUCGAAUUAAUUUCAAGCCGAGCUUGAACCUAGAUUUAGGCUCAAAAUUAAUUUCAAGCCGAAUUUGAGCUGACAUAAGCUCGCUCGAGCUCGGCUCGUUUCCACCCCUACUACCCGCUUCGUUUAUUAAUUUCAUUUAGAAAAUAAACUUAGCUGGAAAUAUGAAUCAACUAGGAUUCGAACUUGGGUCUCGGGUAUCAACCACCAAACCCUUUGCCACUUGCUCU
rnacentral:lncRNA from 1 species